rnacentral:rRNA from 1 species
ACAGCAGCAGCCGCGGUAAUACGUAGGGGGCAAGCGUUAUCCGGAAUUACUGGGUGUAAAGGGAGCGUAGACGGUUAAACAAGUCUGAAGUGAAAUGCCGGGGCUCAACCCCGGAGCUGCUUUGGGAACUGUAGAACUGGAGUGUCGGAGGGGUAAGCGGAAUUCCCAGUGUAGCGGUGAAAUGCGUAGAUAUUGGGAGGAACACCGGCGGCGAAGGCGGCUUACUGGACGACAACUGACGUUGAGGCUCGAAGGCGUGGGUAGCAAACAGGAUUAGAUACCCCAGUAGUCCCUGUCUCUUAUAC